rnacentral:rRNA from 1 species
AUGGCCAAAGAGAAAGAUAGUGGUGUCCUAAACAGCAUGGAGCUGGUGCGAAAAGUGUCACCGGCCCGGCCGACGACGCUGCACGACAUCCCCGACAAGCUCCUCAAGAUCAUCCUCCUGUACCUCCUCGCCUCGCCCCACUGGCUUGUUCGCGCGGCGGCCACCUGUAAGCGAUGGCGCCGCAUCGUCGUUGAAAGACACUUCUUCAUGUGUGACAUUCCCGCCACCAAUCCCUCAUCUCUUGUUGCAGGCCAUUACCAUAACCACACAUCCCCUGUCAAUGGCCGCCGCCUCAUCUUCGUUCCUUCCUCGUCAGCGCUUGCUGUCAAUAGCCGCCACUUCUCCCUGGACUUCCUCCCUGGAGGUGACAGCGGGUCAUGGGAGAUCGUAGAUAGCCACCACACCCUCCUCCUCCUUGUCAAGAAGAAGACUGGGUGGAGACGCUGCUUCCCUGACCUCCUAGUCUGCGAGCCGAUCACACGGCGUUGCCAACUAAUCCCACGCGUGGAGAAAAUGAAAUACCACCCAUGUAUUGGUGUAUUCCUUGAUAUGCAUGGUCGCAGAGGAGCUAUCACGUGGAAUGGACACGCCACCGAUACAAUGUCACGUUUCAGAGUGAUUUGCGUGCUCUACCAUGAAUUCAAAGGGGUAUCUGGUAACAUUGGGACAGCCAAGGCCUUCGUGUUCGAAGAGGACUGGAGGAGGAAGCGUGGCUGGUCCGUCAGGCAGCAGCAAGUGACGCACAAACCUCAGAUCCACCUCCAUGGCAUUGAAUCUCUGCAUUUCAUUGGUCGUGCAACAUUUUCCCUUUUCUGGGCCAUGGAAGACGACUAUUCCUCUUUGCUCGCUUAUAAUUUUAGGUGGUCAAAAGAGUUUGAGAUCGUCCCACUUCCGGACCAUAUCCGAGGAUCGGCUUGGCGGGUCAUUGAUAUCAGCAACAACAACUUGGUGCAUGUUGUUUGCUUGCAAGGCGACAACCUUCGCAUCUUUGCGACAAGGACAUACGAUAGCACGGACUGGGUGCUUCAGAAGAGCCUCCAAUUAAUGGAGGCUACUCGUGGACUGGCAGGACACAAGGAUGACUACUUCCGCGGGUCUACCAAGAUCAUCUCAACCAGCAUGAGCUCUAUUGUGUUUUCUCCGGCAAAGGAGACAUGGCUAUUCUCCAUUGACUUUGAGACCAUGGAGGUGGCGAAAUGCAAAUGCAAGGCCCAUUCUUCUGCAUGUGUGGCUUAUCCAUGUGAGCUUCCAUGGCUACCUGCCCUUCGUGCUUGUAUUGUGCGUUGUUCAAGAAGCGGGCGUGGCCGAUGUUCUGAUAUUUGUAUAUGUUGA